rnacentral:rRNA from 1 species
UUGAUUAUAUCAAAUAAAAUUCUAGGUAGAUUUUUGAUAAUGACAUUGCUUACUAAGUCUUGACCAAAUUACGUGCCAGCAGUCGCGGUAAUACGUAAAAGACUAGUGUUAUUCAUCUUUAAUUGGUUUAAAGGGUACCUAGACAGCGAAUAAAGCCAUUGUAGGGACUGAUUCGCUAGAGUUACUUAUGAGGGGGUUUUAAAGUACUGCAGGUGUAGAGAUGAAAUUUUGUUAUACCUCUUUUCGUAUGAGAAACUAUGGCACAGGUAUAGGUGAAAGCAUCCCCUUAUGUGAUAACUGACGUUGAGGGACGAAGGCUUUUUGUCGCGAACAGGAUUAGAUACCCCAGUAGUCAAAGCAGAAAAUGAUGAAUGUCAUAGAUUAGAUAUACAAUUUAUUCUAUAAAUGAAAGUGUAAGCAUUCCACCUCAAGAGUAAUUUGGCAACAUUGGAACUGAAAUCAUUAGACCGUUUCUGAAACCAGUAGUGAAGUAUGUUGUUUAAUUUGAUGAUACGCAAAAAACCUUACCACAAUUUGAAUAUUUAUAUAUAUCUUUUAUUGAUUUUUACUAACAUAUAUGUAGACAAUUAAAAUGAUGCUUAUUUCUCGUUUGUGAGACUAAGCAUCAAAAAAGAUAGUAUAUUUACAAGCGUUGCACGGCUGUCUUCAGUUAAUGUCGUGAGAUUUUGGUUAGUUCCAUUAAAUUAACGUAAACCCUUACUUUAUUUUUAUAUAAAGUAGUUCUCCGCUAUA